GAGCUGUGAUGAUAUUGGCUUCAGCGUUGGUUGGGUCCUUCGCAUUCUUCUGAAUCAUCAGUUGAGAUUUGCCACACCCUGAGCUC
rnacentral:snoRNA from 1 species